rnacentral:rRNA from 1 species
GACGAACGCUGGCGGCGUGCUUAACACAUGCAAGUCGAACGGUAAGGCCCUGGCUUGCUGGGGUGCACGAGUGGCGAACGGGUGAGUAACACGUGAGUAACCUGCCCUUGACUUGGGGAUAACUAUAGGAAACUGGGGCUAAUACCGGAUAGGAGCUCCUGCUGCAUGGCGGGUGCUGGAAAGUUUCGGUGGUUGGGGUAGGACUCGCGGCUGAGCAGUUUGUUGGUGGGGUUGUGGCAUACGAAGGCCUUGACGGGUAGCCGGACUGGGAGGGUGACCGGCCACAUUGGGACUGAGAAACGGGCCAGACUCCUACGGGGGGCAGCAGUGGGGAAUAGUGCACGAUGGGCGGAAGCCUUAUGCAGCGACGCCGCGUGGGAGAGGACUGCCGUCGGGUUGUAAACCGCUUUCGCCUGUGACGAAGCGUGUGUGACGGUAGUUGGUAAAGAAGCACCGGCUAACUACGUG